CCACCCCACCCCAUCCCCCCGGCUCUUUCUUACUGGUGAAGGCGUGGGGCAGCGUGAGCAGCACGGAGACGCGCACCUUGACGGAGAAAGCCAUGCCCAGCCCCAACGCGGCGCCCAGCACGGCCGUGCUGAGCAGGCAGAACCACGCGUUGCCGCUCUGCACCAGUAACACCAGUGCCCCGUACAGACUGGCCAGGCCCAUGCCCAACGCGAAUCCGGCCGCGCUGCGCACCGCCUCCUGCGCCCGGCUCUGCUCCUCCGCCCGCCUGCCCCACAGCCACCGCUUCGCCCUCUCCAUGUCGACUCGGGGGUCUCCCGGUGCGGAACCCGUCGCCGUGCCACCGCGCCCCGGUUCCCCGUGACGACACGCGGCCAUGAGCAUGGAGCCACGCGGGAGGCAGAAGCCGCCCAACACGACCCUGAAGCGGGUGCUGGGCGCCCUGCUGCCCAAACCCUGCACCCAGUUCCUCUGGAGCCGCCCCGAGCAGCAUCGCGGGGCCAAGUUCUUCCUGGGGGGAGGAUUCGGGGCCCUCCUCGGCCUUGGGCUCUGCCAGCUCCUCAUCAUCCCCAUGGACGUCGGGGAGACGCUCAAACUGCGGCUGACGUGUGGGCUGGCGGGUGAGGACGGGGCCCCAGCGGGGGGAUGGGGGGCGAUGG
rnacentral:lncRNA from 1 species